rnacentral:rRNA from 1 species
GAUGAACGCUGGCGGCGUGCUUAACACAUGCAAGUCGAACGAUGAAGCCUAGCUUGCUGGGUGGAUUAGUGGCGAACGGGUGAGUAACACGUGAGCAACCUGCCCCUGACUCUGGGAUAAGCGCUGGAAACGGCGUCUAAUACUGGAUACGAGACGUGGCCGCAUGGUCAACGUUUGGAAAGAUUUUUCGGUUGGGGAUGGGCUCGCGGCCUAUCAGCUUGUUGGUGAGGUAAUGGCUCACCAAGGCGUCGACGGGUAGCCGGCCUGAGAGGGUGACCGGCCACACUGGGACUGAGACACGGCCCAGACUCCUACGGGAGGCAGCAGUGGGGAAUAUUGCACAAUGGGCGGAAGCCUGAUGCAGCAACGCCGCGUGAGGGAUGACGGCCUUCGGGUUGUAAACCUCUUUUAGCAGGGAAGAAGCGAAAGUGACGGUACCUGCAGAAAAAGCGCCGGCUAACUACGUGCCAGCAGCCGCGGUAAUACGUAGGGCGCAAGCGUUAUCCGGAAUUAUUGGGCGUAAAGAGCUCGUAGGCGGUUUGUCGCGUCUGCUGUGAAAUCUGGGGGCUCAACCCCCAGCCUGCAGUGGGUACGGGCAGACUAGAGUGCGGUAGGGGAGAUUGGAAUUCCUGGUGUAGCGGUGGAAUGCGCAGAUAUCAGGAGGAACACCGAUGGCGAAGGCAGAUCUCUGGGCCGUAACUGACGCUGAGGAGCGAAAGGGUGGGGAGCAAACAGGCUUAGAUACCCUGGUAGUCCACCCCGUAAACGUUGGGAACUAGUUGUGGGGUCCAUUCCACGGAUUCCGUGACGCAGCUAACGCAUUAAGUUCCCCGCCUGGGGAGUACGGCCGCAAGGCUAAAACUCAAAGGAAUUGACGGGGACCCGCACAAGCGGCGGAGCAUGCGGAUUAAUUCGAUGCAACGCGAAGAACCUUACCAAGGCUUGACAUAUACGAGAACGGGCCAGAAAUGGUCAACUCUUUGGACACUCGUAAACAGGUGGUGCAUGGUUGUCGUCAGCUCGUGUCGUGAGAUGUUGGGUUAAGUCCCGCAACGAGCGCAACCCUCGUUCUAUGUUGCCAGCACGUAAUGGUGGGAACUCAUGGGAUACUGCCGGGGUCAACUCGGAGGAAGGUGGGGAUGACGUCAAAUCAUCAUGCCCCUUAUGUCUUGGGCUUCACGCAUGCUACAAUGGCCGGUACAAAGGGCUGCAAUACCGUGAGGUGGAGCGAAUCCCAAAAAGCCGGUCCCAGUUCGGAUUGAGGUCUGCAACUCGACCUCAUGAAGUCGGAGUCGCUAGUAAUCGCAGAUCAGCAACGCUGCGGUGAAUACGUUCCCGGGUCUUGUACACACCGCCCGUCAAGUCAUGAAAGUCGGUAACACCUGAAGCCGGUGGCCUAACCCUUGUGGAGGGAGCCGUCGAAGGUGGGAUCGGUAAUUAGGACU